GGAGCCCACCAGCAAGGAUGACUUCAGAAGAAGGUUUAUGUGUGAAUGGAAUAGAGGCUCCUUAAAACCAGCCCCUGCAAGGAAUGGAACUCGUGGCAGUUUCCCUGGACAGACAUAAGCACGUCUUUGAACUCAAGAUGGGACUCGGAGCAGCAGGUGUAACACAAGGAAGGCGACCAUGGAGGCAGGAAGCCAGGGGUCUAGUUCCACCUCCCACCUGCAAGGAGCUGCGUCACCUCCUCAAGUCUUCUAGGGCCUCGGCCCUCUCACCCGUGGAGUGGGGUGCUGCGCUCCCA
rnacentral:lncRNA from 1 species